AGGUGAUCGUAAAUUAAAGUUAAAAUACGCAUUGGGUCCAAAAAGAUGCAUCACCAUAUGUGACCAGCCAACCGUAUGGGUCAGCCACAUUUGCACACUAAAACGAGUAUUAGCAGACCAAGUUCAGCCUGAUGGAGCAGUAGCCAAAGGGGCCUAGAUUCAUUAUCCGGAAGGAUCCAACGGUCCGUGGGGUUCAUAACAGCAUGCCCAUUAUCUUCCAGCAUCUCGUGCAUCCCAUGCUUCUGGAUCCGUAUCUCAUCUAGAUCCCAGUCUUCCGCGAUCGGAUCU
rnacentral:lncRNA from 1 species